rnacentral:rRNA from 1 species
CCUACGGGCGGCAGCAGUGGGGAAUAUUGGACAAUGGGGGGAACCCUGACCCAGCGACGCCGCGUGAGUGAAGAAGUCUCUCGGUUUGUAAAGUUCUAUUAGCAGGGACGAAAGAAAUGACGGUACUUGAUUAAGAAGCCACGGCUAACUACGUGCCAGCAGCCGCGGUAAUACGUAGGUGGCAAGCGUUAUCCGGAUUUACUGGGUGUAAAGGGCGCGUAGGCGGGAAUGCAAGUCAGAUGUGAAAAGCAUGGGCUCAACCCCCGGACUGCUUUGGAAACUGGAGAACUUGAGUGUAGGAGAGGGAGGCGGAAUUCCGAGUGUAGCGGUGAAAUGUGUAGAUAUAAGGAGGAACACCAGUGGCGAAGGCGGCUUACUGGACUAUAACUGACGUUGAGGCGCGAAAGCGUGGGGAGCAAACAGGAUUAGAUACCCGUGUAGUC